GUCCACGCCCUAAACGUUGAAUACUCGGUCUUGGCGAUAUACAGUCAGGGCCCAAGCGAAAGCGUUAAGUAUUCCACCUGGGAAGUACGUUCGCAAGAAUGAAACUCAAAGGAAUUGACGGGGGCCCGCACAAGCGGAGGAGCAUGUGGUUUAAUUCGAUGAUACGCGAGAAACCUUACCUGGGCUUGAAUGUGAGUGAUCGGUGCCGAAAGGUACUUUCCCCGCAAGGGCACAAAACAAGGUGCUGCAUGGCUGUCGU
rnacentral:rRNA from 1 species